rnacentral:rRNA from 1 species
UACGGAGGAUCCGAGCGUUAUCCGGAUUUAUUGGGUUUAAAGGGUGCGUAGGCGGCCUAUUAAGUCAGGGGUGAAAGACGGUAGCUUAACUAUCGCAGUGCCUUUGAUACUGAUGGGCUUGAAUGUAGUUGAGGUAGGCGGAAUGUGACAAGUAGCGGUGAAAUGCAUAGAUAUGUCACAGAACACCGAUUGCGAAGGCAGCUUACUAUGGUUUUAUUGACGCUGAGGCACGAAAGCGUGGGGAUCAAACAGG